rnacentral:rRNA from 1 species
UACGUAGGGGGCAAGCGUUGUCCGGAAUCAUUGGGCGUAAAGAGCGUGUAGGCGGCCCGAUAAGUCCGCCGUGAAAGUCCAGGGCUCAACCCUGGAAUGCCGGUGGAAACUGUCGGGCUGGAGUCCGGGAAGAGGCGAGUGGAAUUCCUGGUGUAGCGGUGAAAUGCGCAGAUAUCAGGAGGACACCAACUAGCGGAAGGCAGCUCGCUGGGACGUUACUGACGCUGAGACGCGAAAGCGUGGGGAGCAAACAGG